AUUGAACGCUGGCGGCAGGCUUAACACAUGCAAGUCGAACGAGUGGCGGACGGGUGAGUAAUGCCUGGGAAACCGCCUGAUGGAGGGGGAUAACCACUGGAAACGGUAGCUAAUACCGCAUACCAUCAGAUGUGCCCAGAUGGGAUUAGCUAGGUGGUGGGGUAACGGCUCACCAAGGCGACGACCCCUAGCUGGUCUGAGAGGAUGACCGGCCACAGUGGAACUGAGACACGGUCCAGACUCCUACGGGAGGCAGCGGUGGGGAAUAUUGCACAAGGGGGGCAAGCCUGAUGCAGCCAUGCCGCGUGUAGAAAGAAGGCCUUCGGGUUGUAAAGUACUUUCAGCGGGGAGACGUUACCCGCAGAGAAAGCACCGGCUAACUCCGUGCCAGCAGCCGCGGUAAUUC
rnacentral:rRNA from 1 species